rnacentral:rRNA from 1 species
UAACAAGAUUGUUCGCCAGAGAACUACUAGCUACAGCUUAAAACUCAAAGGACUUGGCGGUGCUUUAUAUCCCUCUAGAGGAGCCUGUUCUGUAAUCGAUAAACCCCGAUAAACCUCACCAGCCCUUGCUAAUUCAGCCUAUAUACCGCCAUCUUCAGCAAACCCUUAAAGGGAAUCAUAGUAAGCACAAGUAUACGCAUAAAAACGUUAGGUCAAGGUGUAGCUAAUGAGUUGGGAAGAAAUGGGCUACAUUUUCUACUUUUAGAACAUAUACUUUUUAACGAAAACCUUUAUGAAACGAAAGGUUAAAGGAGGAUUUAGUAGUAAAUUAAGAAUAGAGCGCUUAAUUGAAUGAGGC